rnacentral:lncRNA from 1 species
UCAUACAACCAACCUAGCCUGACCAGAUAUUAAGCCCAGAGCUAGGGCUCUGUGCUUCCACUCCUUGGCCGAUCAUGGCUUUCAAGAUCACCGUCCUGGCUAGGCCCGUAUUGGCAUUGGUAUUGGCGCUGCUCCUUACGUCUUUCAGUAAGUAUUUACACAUGCAUGCAUAAAAGAUCUCUUAAUUUGCAGUUUCUGUAAGUAUGUUAUGAUACCUCUUAUCUUGUAACAAAACCUGUAUUUUUUUUCCUUGCGUAGAUGUUGGUGCAAGCAGGGAGUUGCAUUUGGACGGGCACCAAGCCACAGAUCAUCCGGCCUGCGCAGCCCAAGCCUGCGCCGAGACAUGCGUCGGUAAUGGCUUUUGUGGCGGGAUUUGUGACGAUUCUUCCUGCAAGUGCGUCUACUGCAAAUCACUUGACACGGUCGUUGAAAACAUACACUCCUAAUCUAAGGUGGAUCAAUAAACAGAUAAUCGAUCUCCUCUUUCUCUUUUCUUCGGAGACAGUAUUGUUCCUUUUCUAAUUUUAGCAGAUUAUCCGAGAAGAUCUGAUGUUUUUGUUGUCAUGGAUUACAUUGUGUUGGUGGAUAAUUAUGAUCGUUGAUUGUCUGAAUCGGAGUUUGAAUGUAUCAGACAUGUGCGAAAUAUGAA